UUUUAUUUCACAAAUAGCAAAAAAUAUGUCUGUAAUAGGGUAUGUAAGUCUCGUCAUGUGACUUGCGAGAUUUCACGAUAUUUUGCACUUCCGGGUACAAACAAAUAUCAACAACAUUGCUUAUCUAUAUUGGGUAAUACUUGUAUGCCGGUGGGAAAGUAAAACUUACAUGGAAAAGCAAAUGAUAUGUGGAAAUUGGCAGAGUUUUUGUUUUGUAACGAAAUGCAAAUGGUCUCAUCUUGUGAACAAGUAUCAAUGAAAGACAACUUCGUAUAAUCUUCAGAUAUUUAGACUGAGGAAAGUGGUGAGAUGAAAGACGUCAACUGGUAUCCGGUGUAAAUACACAUGCAUGUUCUGCUGUAAAAUCGUUUUGGUAUGUGAUUUCAUGGUUGGAUCUUGAGUACUUGUCAUCGCUCUUGAUUUAUUUUGGAGUGUUCACUAUCAGAUUAGAAAUCAAAUAGUGAUACCACCAGGCAUAGUUGAAAGGAAAUGUCCAUACACAGUCUUGGAGUACAUAGUGGUAGAGACAUGGCAGUCCAUUACAGAUUUUGACUGAAUUAAAGCUUCUUAAAGCUCCAUGUCUUGUGUAAACUGUCUGACUGAAUGUUUGUAUUCUAAUAAAAACUAAGGUUGAAGACACUUCAAAGAUAUAUGUCAGUGUAAAAAUGUUAAACAAAAUAUCUGUCUUUGUAAGAAAUAAAUAACCUGUCUUUGUUAGAAAUAAAUAACCUUUCAUUUGUAA